rnacentral:tRNA from 1 species
GGGCUCAUCGUCUAAAGGAUAGGACAGCGGCCUUCUAAGCCGUCAGUGUAGGUUCAAUUCCUACUGGGCUCG